rnacentral:tRNA from 1 species
AGCAGUGUGGUCUAGUGGAAAGAUAAUGGGUCUGGGAAUCAGAGGACUUGGGUUCCAAUCCCAGCUCUGCAC